rnacentral:rRNA from 1 species
AGCAGCCGCGGUAAUUCCAGCUCCAAUAGCGUAUAUUAAAGUUGUUGCAGUUAAAAAGCUCGUAGUUGAAUUUCGGGGUUAGUAGGUUGGUCAUGCCUCUGGUAUGUACUGGUCUCACUGAUUCCUCCUUCCUUAUGAACCGUAAUGCCAUUAAUUUGGUGUUGCGGGAAAUUUGGACUGUUACUUUGAAAAAAUUAGAGUGUUUAAAGCAAGCUAACGCUUGAAUACAUUAGCAUGGAAUAAUGAAAUAGGACGUUCGAUCUUAUUUUGUUGGUUUCUAGGAUUGACGUAAUGAUUAAUAGGGAUAGUUGGGGGCAUUAGUAUUCAAUUGUCAGAGGUGAAAUUCUUGGAUUUAUUGAAGACUAACUACUGCGAAAGCAUCUGCCAAGGAUGUUUUCAUUAAUCAAGAAUGAAAGUUAGGGGAUCGAAGACGAUCAGAUACCGUCGUAG